GAUUGAACGCUGGCGGCAGGCUUAACACAUGCAAGUCGAACGGUAGCAGGAGAAAGCUUGCUUUCUUGCUGACGAGUGGCGGACGGGUGAGUAAUGCUUGGGAAUCUGGCUUAUGGAGGGGGAUAACGACGGGAAACUGUCGCUAAUACCGCGUAGUGUCGAGAGACGAAAGUGCGGGACCGCAAGGCCGCAUGCCAUGGGAUGAGCCCAAGUGGGAUUAGGUAGUUGGUGAGGUAAUGGCUCACCAAGCCUGCGAUCUCUAGCUGGUCUGAGAGGAUGGCCAGCCACACUGGAACUGAGACACGGUCCAGACUCCUACGGGAGGCAGCAGUGGGGAAUAUUGCGCAAUGGGGGGAACCCUGACGCAGCCAUGCCGCGUGAAUGAAGAAGGCCUUCGGGUUGUAAAGUUCUUUCGGUAUUGAGGAAGGGAUGUAUGCUAAUAGUAUACAUCAUUGACGUUAAAUACAGAAGAAGCACCGGCUAACUCC
rnacentral:rRNA from 1 species